rnacentral:rRNA from 1 species
GAUCAUGGCUCAGGAUGAACGCUAGCUACAGGCUUAACACAUGCAAGUCGAGGGGCAGCAUGGUCUUAGCUUGCUAAGGCCGAUGGCGACCGGCGCACGGGUGAGUAACGCGUAUCCAACCUGCCCAUCACUUGGGAAUAACCUUGCGAAAGUAAGACUAAUACCCAAUGAUAUCCCACGAAGGCAUCCGAAUGGGAUUAAAGAUUUAUCGGUGAUGGAUGGGGAUGCGU